rnacentral:tRNA from 1 species
GGCUCAGAUGGUAAAGCGUUUGCCUGUGAUGCAGGAGACCCAGGUUCGAUCCCUGG